UGUCUUUGAAAGAUUAGGCACUACCCUCC
rnacentral:piRNA from 1 species